CUAAUCAUUUACUUCCACUUUCAUAAUAAAAAAUUAAGCUUCACCUAUGAAGCAAAACAAACGUUAGUUACAUAGAUUAAGAAUCUUUUAAGAAGAAGGCUAGAACCAGUGGAAGAAGGGCUCGAGUCUGGGGCUCGAGCUGGGGAAAGAAGAAUGCAACAUCAAGUGGCUAAGUGAAGGCAUUCAAGAGAAGAUAAGAGGAGAGUUAAGGAAGAGCAGAAAAAUAGACAGAAAU